AUGGGGCAGGCCCAGAAAAUGCACAAGUUCCCACUCGUGUCAGCAGGACUGGCAGCCCAGCCCACAGCCUUCAGACCCUCCCUGGCCAGAAGGAGGGGCUUCACUGGGGACUUGCCCCCUUCUGCCCAGGAGACUCACUCAGAAGUGCCUGGGGUUCCCCCUUGCCUGGAUGGGGUGGUGGAGCAGAUCACGCCCAAGCCUGGCCGUCGGGAAAAUCAAGCUUGGUGGCCAUCCCGGGGACACCGCUCUGGGCCACCUCAGGCAGAACCUCCUCCUGAGGCGCAGGAACUGGGCUUCCUCAGGAGGCAUGGUGUGUCUGAAGCUCCCUGGAGGCUCCAGCUUGGCAGCGUUGACAGUGACACUGAUGGUGCUGAGCUCCCGACUGGCUUUCGCUGGGGACACCCGACGUUAAGUGCACAUUGUUCCCAGUGCCCGCACCCCGCCCAGGGGGCCCCGGAUGGCGGCGUCGCUGUCAGUGUCUUCUCAGGAGGCCUCCUGUGUGACCGGAGCAUUCGUGUCCCCACAGCACGUUUCUUGGAGCUGCUUAAGUCUGAGUGUCAUUUCUUCAAUGGGACGGAGCGGGUGCGGUUCCUUGAGAGAUACAUCCAUAACCAAGAGGAGUUCGUGCGCUUCGACAGCGACGUGGGGGAGUUCCGGGCGGUGACGGAGCUGGGGCGGCCUGAUGCCGAGUACUGGAACAGCCAGAAGGACAUCCUGGAAGACGAGCGGGCCUCGGUGGACACCUAUUGGAGAUACAACUACGGGAUUGUGGAGAGCUUCACAGUGCAGCGGCGAGGGGAGCAUGUCCACCCUAAGGUGACUGUGUAUCCUUCAAAGACCCAGCCCCUGCAGCACCACAACCUCCUGGUCUGCUCUGUGAAUGGUUUCUAUCCAGGCAGCAUUGAAGUCAGGUGGUUCCGGAAUGGACAGGAAGAGAAGACUAGGUGGUGUCCACAGGCCUGAUCCAGAAUGGAGACUGGACCUUCCAGACCCUGGUGAUGCUGGAAACAGUUCCUCGGAGUGGAGAGGUUUACACCUGCCAAGUGGAGCACCCAAGUGUGACGAUCCCUCUCACAGUGGAAUGGAAAGCACGGUCUGAAUCUGCACAGAGCAAGAUGCUGAGUGGAGUCGGGGGCUUUGUGCUGGGCCUGCUCUUCCUUGGGGCCGGGCUGUUCAUCUACUUCAGGAAUCAGAAAGGACACUCUAGACUUCCGCCAACAGGACUCUGAGCUGAAGUGCAGAUUAACCACAUUCAAGGAAGAACCUUCUGCCCCAGCUUUGCAGGAUGAAAAGCUUUCCCGCCUAGCUGUUAUUCUUCCACAAGAGAGGGCUUUCUCAGGACCUGGUUGCUACUGGUUCAGCAACUGCAGAAAAUGUCCUCCCUUGUGGCUUCCUCAGCUCCUGCCCUUGGCCUGAAGUCCCAGCAUUGAUGGCAGUGUCUCAUCUUCAAGUUUCGUGCUCCCCUUUGUGUAAACCCUAUGGCCUCCCGUGCAUCUCUACUCACCCUGUACCACAAACACAUUACAUUAUUAAAUGUUUCUCAAAGAUGGAGUUAAAUAUCAUCUGGUCCAU